GAGGCCCCACCUGAAGAGAUGCUGGGUCGAGGGUCUUCUUGGCAGCCCACAAGCGAGGCAUAAAGCAACUGUUCUCCUGCUCCCAGAUUCUGGUGUCGCAGCUAACGGCCUUUGCACAGCAGACUGCACUCCAUGAUUCUGACCAACCUCCACAGCCAUCUCUUGGAAAUUCUGACCCGCAGAUUCAACCACAUCACGGAGGCGGAAAAUGGGGCAAAAGGGGUCCGUUUUGGCAUUGUAUUUGCAGUUCUUGAGCGACAAGAGUCUUGUUAGCACAAGGAUGGAAGAACAAGGAAAUCCCAAUGAAAGAACAGUGGCAAGAAAAAAUGAUGAGCUAUGCAGAAAUGGCCAAGUUGACAUAUAAACUGCGUGACAAGGACAAUCAUGACUUCAAGGAGCAAUGGAAACUUUUUACAAACUACUUAAAAAGACAAAAAAAUGACUUGGACUCCUUGGCAGGUUUUGAAUAAACAUCCACAAAUUUAUUAGUUCAAUAUAUGAUAGACAAGGCAAGGAUAUGUACAAUUUUAUAAUAUGCAGAGAACAAUAUGUGCAAAGAAACCAGAGAAGGGAGCUGAGGGAAG